rnacentral:lncRNA from 1 species
CUUCUUUCCUGCCAGCUCGGAUUCGAGGAUUGGUUCUUUUGUGGUCGCACAGAAGAUUACCUAACUUGACUGCUUUUAUCUCAUAACUGAAGUCAUAUCCAGACUGGCACAGUUCGGGAUCGCGGUUUAUUUGUACCGAGGCAAUAUUUGCUUAGUACGGUGUGAGGGAAGGGAGCGGCUGCGAUCUCGUUUUGCCCUGUGGCUACCUCGUCUGUUUCAUGUCGAGGGUACCGGUUUGAAUGCGUGGGAAAAUGCUCCACUCAGUUUGUUGGCAUAGAUAAUGAAUAGUGUGACAUGACACAGGAUUCAGUUGAUUUAGGAAUACUUUUUCGGCUUGGUUGUUUUUCAGUUCUCGUACAUAGAAUCCAUGAAACGCGUGAGAGAUCCGCAGAUUCCAGUCUCCCAUGCUGACGUGGGUAUUCAACCUCAAUGAACAGGAAGUACGUUUUUUGCCGCUGGAAUAAUUGGAAAAAUAGAGUUUGCCUACAGGAUUAAGACCUACUUCUCCAUAGCGCCUUCUAUAGAAUGGGUCAAGAGCACGUAGACAUUUAUCGCGUGUCUUUACAAGCGCAUAUUUCACCGCAUACCUGAGCACGCGCUACUCGGCAUCAAUGUCUAAGCACAUUCAGCGGGCGCACAGAGAAAGGGAAUACGGUGAAGCGAUGAUGCCGCCCUUUGUAGCACUGCUCAUUCAGCUAAUGGUCAGCCCAGGUGCCAACAACUGACGCUUGCAUAUUGGGACAAACUCAACGGCCCACCUUUGAGAGACUGAGUAUUUGAGGAGUAGAAAUCGGCACUCAUGCUUCGCCUGGCAUGAACCUAUAGUUCCAGAAGGCCCGUGCUCAAUGUCAAACCUGAAACGUGCAUCUAGUUCUGGGAAUGGUAAAGAACUAUACGCCUAAACGGUACUUCGAGAACCACUUGAAAAUCAACUCUCAACAGGUAAGCGUCGGGACUACAGUAAGAAGAGGUUCCGAUGGUGAAUUGAUGCUUUUUCAACUAGAAUUGCGUGGCUGUCCUAAACGCGCGCAAAAAUGUGGCCAUCACGAGAUGUAUCACCGGCCACUGUGCCAGCGCCUAACAUAUGUGUAUUUGGUCCCGCUUGUCUCGCCGCUGAGUAGCGAGGAAUGCAUCAAUCCGCUGACGAGUGUAACAUCCGCACAAAGACAAUUUGGAGUUGUGAGGAAUGUGUCGGGGUGCACUAACAGCCCUUUUCAGUUUAGGCGGAGGGGACUCAGGACAUAGAACGCACGCAGACUACGUCGUGCCUUAGCAAACACGACAGUGUCCUUUCAGCAGGUACUCAGAAUUAUCACAUAUAAAGUGGAUUUCGGCAAGUGAGGGGUGGCAAAAAUAAAUGUUGAACCGUACUUUUCUGGAUAUCACAGCACGGGGCUGCCUCGUUGUUCAGGCGAUGCGUCGCUAUUGCACACGUGCAUACACACAUACGAGAGCCCGAGAGAGAGGCCAAAACUCAGGAACCUAUUGGAUGUACGAUGAGCUACCUAUCCGCCAUGUAUGGGGAAUAUGAAGUUCACCUCAGGCAGGAUUGUUGCUGUGGAGAGAGGCACGCCGUCAGUGUACUAAGAACCCCGCCUGGCUUCUUGUGGUCCUCCAUCACAAGGGAGCUGUUCUGAAAUUUUUUUGCUCCCGGGCGACUUUGCGAAAGAGGGUGCUGGAGCUAUUCACUGGAAAACAGUGCUGUGAUUCUGCCUGUCGUCGUACCAUCUUCCUGAUUCGGAGCUUCAAAUCAAUCGCAGCUUUACCGCUCAAGUGUCAAACGGGUCAGGCUCAAUUUGCUCGGUCGUGCUGUGGCUACUGUGAGAGUGACGUACCGGUGAUUAAGACUGGAGCCGUUGACGGAUGUUGUGCCGUGAUUCAGAUGAAGAAUGCUUCGAGCCUUGUACACAUCGCUUGCCACGUUGCUUCGAAUUAAAUUACAGGCUCCACCGGAGACAUUCGUACGUGUGACUAUGGCUACGAGAAGGACGAACACUCGUAGACGGCUGAGUGGAUCCACGAUACCUCCACAAGAAUGCGGAGCGGAAGAAACACGACUCUUGUAGCAAAGAAGUACUCAAUGGUUUUGUGUCGUUCCUAUCAGAAUGGUGCGAACACGACAGAACAACCAGGUAUCCACUUAGAGCGCUCAAGAGAUUUAUGGGCAGCAUACUCUGUACAUUUCUAAAUAUUCCACGCUGUCGACGCCGAAGCGCAGCUUCGGGCGGUACGUGGUGCGGACGGUUAAUCGCUCUGAGAGAGGACGUGGGCGCUUUAACAGUUAUGUCACUUCGGAACCUGGUUGUGGACACGUAGCGGGCUGAAUAUCUGGCAUACAACGCUCUUGAUUUUUGCAUUUUUGCGAGUUCCUUUGCUUAUCCCACUGUAUUCCCGAGGCUAAUAUCUACAUCGAAACCAGCUGGGCACUAUUGUAAGACGAUUUGGUGUCACUCCGUUAACACACCCAACCACAGUCUUUGAGAAGACACACGCCGUGACGUGUUGCUGCUAAAUCAAUGUUUUUUUCUAUGCAGAGACGCUUUCUUGAAAUACGUCCUCAAAUGCAAUAUCUUAGUGUCGGCAAUCUUUUACACAGCUUGUGUUCGUGUUCGAUGCCGCGGCGCAAGCCCCAAGCGCGUACUUACUGAUGAUGAACACUUCUCACGCAAUUGUUGAUUCACCAAUGAGAUUCGCCUUUCGGUAACUGAAGGGCAGCUACUAAAUCACCACUUCCCGUUGCUGGGAAAUGG